UCCACUGUAGUGGACAUUUGAGUUUCAUCCCUCUUCUUGGAAUCUUUUGUGCAAGUCUCUUAAUUCCUGAUGUACUGUACAGAGGACAUCCUGGGCUUUUCAGUGAUAUGUCAUUUGAUUGGCUGGGAGGCCGGGAACCGCCUCUAUCUUUCCUUUCAAAAUGGACGGCAUAGGAACAAGCACAUUUUAUGGAAAGAUGAGAGAUUUGCACCUGUGUUACCUGGGCUUCCUGUGUGUCAAGAUGACCCUACAACACGUGCAGACUGGAGUCCAAUUGAAUACUUUUCACAGUACAUUGACAACAAGGUCUUUGAAGAUUUGGCAACAUACACAAAUCAAAGAGAGCUGCAAAUCAAAGGAGUGUGCAUGAACACCAC